rnacentral:rRNA from 1 species
CUUGGUCAUUUAGAGGAAGUAAAAGUCGUAACAAGGUUUCCGUAGGUGAACCUGCGGAAGGAUCAUUACUGAAGCAUUUGCAAUGGUUUUGUUGCUGCCUUGAAAAAGGAUUGUGCACACCAUUCAAUCUUCUAUUUACCCACCUGUGCACCUUUCAUAGGCUUACGUUGAAUAAGUUGUCACCGUAAAAUGUGGAUGUGGGAGCGUAGCCCGUAGCUUGUUCUCAACUGUUAUUCAACUGUCUAUGUCAUUUUUAUAUACACUAUUUGAUAUAAAUGAAUGUAUUGCUCUAUGGAUUGAUUUCCAUAUAAAUGUAAAUACAACUUUCAGCAACGGAUCUCUUGGCUCUCGUAUCGAUGAAGAACGCAGCGAAAUGCGAUAAGUAAUGUGAAUUGCAGAAUUCAGUGAAUCAUCGAAUCUUUGAACGCACCUCGCACCCUUUGGUAUUCCGAAGGGUAUGCCUGUUUGAGUGUCAUUAAAUUCUCAACCCAUUAAAUUUUUUUAAUGGAUUGGACUUGAGGGUUAUUUUGUCGGCUCUGUUCGACUCCCUUUAAAUGCAUAAGUGGCUCGACUCCCAUUUAAACUGGUGUGAUAGUUGUAUCUACAUCAUAACAAUGGCAAAUGUAGCUGCUAUCUAAUCGUCGAAAGACAAUUUGAACCAUUUGACCUCAAAUCAGGUAGGACUACCCGCUGAACUUAAGCAUAUCAAUAAGCGGAGGA